GACCCGGAGACUACAGAUUCAGGUUUGCACUGCUUUUGAGACAGCGCCGCCCACUGUUUGCUAGCAUUCCAAGAUGGAGUACGAUCGGAGAAUUCACAUUACAAUUCAGAGAGGGCAACCUGUGACUCCGUUGGAGCGAUAAAGGACCUGCUGCACAAACUACCACUGCCCCUUUUGCAGCUCAAGCCUGUUUAAACCAACUACCCUCAGCAAAUGCGACACAUUUGUCAUGUCACCCCAAACGGGCAGUUUUUCAUGACGGUUAUACCAUUCACAGAUGUGGAUUAGGUGGUCGCCAGCACCUUCAUUUCCAUUGUCUGUACUGCAAAUCCACACUUCUCCGGAAAGCA